rnacentral:rRNA from 1 species
CCUACGGGCGGCAGCAGUAGGGAAUAUUGCUCAAUGGGGGAAACUCUGAAGCAGCAACGCAGCGUGGAGGAUGAAGGUUUUAGGAUUGUAAACUCUCUUUGUUAGAGAAGAUUAUGACGGUAUCUAACGAAUAUGCUACGGCCAACUCCGUGCCAGCAGCCGCACUAAUACGGAGGGUGCAAGCGUUACUCGGAAUCACUAGGCGUAAACAGUGCGUAGGGGGGGUAAUAAGUCAGAUGUGAAAUCCUGUGGCUUAACUACAAAACUGCAGUUGAAACUGUUACUCUUGAGUGUGGGAGAGGUAGGUGGAAUUCUUGGUGUAGGGGUAAAAUCCGUAGAGAUCAAGAGGAAUACUGAUUGCGAAGGCGGCCUGCUGGAACAUUACUGACGCUGAUGCACGAAAGCGUGGGGAGCAAACAGGAUUAGAUACCCUUGUAGUC